AGGCGCUUGCCCCCAGCAUUGAGGAUGCGGUCCUGGGUGUGGCUGCCCGCCUGCACCCCCACAGAGCACACACCUGUGGUUUGGGUACCACCUGGACACACACAUCAUGUGUUAAAAUCUCUACAACCACAGCUAUUUUGCUCUCCUGGCCAGGAUGCUUCAUCUUCCGGGUCAUCCAGAAAAGGAACGGAGGUGGCCGGCGUGGAAGAGACUCCACAAUGAUGAGAUAUGGUGCCCAUCCUUAUGGAACUUACAUCUGGUUGGGGAGAUGAAUCGCAGCCACUUCAAAAAUUAACUGCAUUACAAGACCAUAGCCCAUCAGGCUCCUCUGUCCAUGGGAUUCUCCAAGCAAGAAUACUGGAGUGGGUUGCCAUUUCCUUCUCCGGGGGAUCUUCCCAACCCAGGGAUUGAACAUGUGUCUCUUAAGUCUCCUGUAUUGGCAGUGGCCAGUGGAUACCUAACUUUAUCAUCCUGGUUGCACUGAGGAUUGUUCCAGGCUGAGCAGACAACUAAACAAAACGAGGAAUACUGGGAUGCUCUGGUUCCACAACAGAAAUACAGCUGAAGGGGAUAUUCUUAGAUUUUUCUUUUCUUCUU
ensembl:lncRNA